rnacentral:rRNA from 1 species
GACGAACGCUGGCGGCGUGCUUAACACAUGCAAGUCGAACGGAAAGGCCCUGCUUGCAGGGUACUCGAGUGGCGAACGGGUGAGUAAGACGUGGGUGAUCUGCCCUGCACUUCGGGAUAAGCCUGGGAAACUGGGUCUAAUACCGGAUAGGAGCCAUUUUUAGUGUGAUGGUUGGAAAGUUUUUUCGGUGUAGGAUGAGCUCGCGGCCUAUCAGCUUGUUGGUGGGGUAAUGGCCUACCAAGGCGGCGACGGGUAGCCGGCCUGAGAGGGUGGACGGCCACAUUGGGACUGAGAUACGGCCCAGACUCCUACGGGAGGCAGCAGUGGGGAAUAUUGCACAAUGGGCGCAAGCCUGAUGCAGCGACACCGCGUGGGGGAUGACGGCCUUCGGGUUGUAAACUCCUUUCGCUAGGGACGAAGCUUUUUGUGACGGUACCUAGAUAAGAAGCACCGGCUAACUACGUG